GACGAACGCUGGCGGCGUGCUUAACACAUGCAAGUCGAACGGAAAGGCCCUGCUUUUGUGGGGUGCUCGAGUGGCGAACGGGUGAGUAACACGUGAGUAACCUGCCCUUGACCUUGGGAUAACUUCAGGAAACUGGGGCUAAUACCGGAUAGGAGCUCCUGCUGCAUGGUGGGGGUUGGAAAGUUUCGGCGGUUGGGGAUGGACUCGCGGCUUAUCAGCUUGUUGGUGGGGUAGUGGCUUACCAAGGCUUUGACGGGUAGCCGGCCUGAGAGGGUGACCGGCCACAUUGGGACUGAGAUACGGCCCAGACUCCUACGGGAGGCAGCAGUGGGGAAUAUUGCACAAUGGGCGGAAGCCUGAUGCAGCAACGCCGCGUGCGGGAUGACGGCCUUCGGGCUGUAAACCGCUUUCGCCUGUGACGAAGCGUGAGUGACGGUAAUGGGUAAAGAAGCACCGGCUAACUACGUG
rnacentral:rRNA from 1 species